GUAUGUAGCUCAGUGGUAGAGUGCUUGCCUAGCAUGUCUGAGGCACUAGGUUCGAUUCUCAGCACCACA
rnacentral:tRNA from 1 species